GAUGAACGCUGGCGGCGUGCCUAAUACAUGCAAGUCGAGCGAAUGGAUUAAGAGCUUGCUCUUAUGAAGUUAGCGGCGGACGGGUGAGUAACACGUGGGUAACCUGCCCAUAAGACUGGGAUAACUCCGGGAAACCGGGGCUAAUACCGGAUAACAUUUUGAACCGCAUGGUUCGAAAUUGAAAGGCGGCUUCGGCUGUCACUUAUGGAUGGACCCGCGUCGCAUAAGCUAGUUGGUGAGGUAACGGCUCACCAAGGCAACGAUGCGUAGCCGACCUGAGAGGGUGAUCGGCCACCCUGAGACUGGGACACGGCCCAGACUCCUACGGGAGGCAGCAGUAGGGAAUCUUCCGCAAUGGACGAAAGUCUGACGGAGCAACGCCGCGUGAGUGAUGAAGGCUUUCGGGUCGUAAAACUCUGUUGUUAGGGAAGAACAAGUGCUAGUUGAAUAAGCUGGCACCUUGACGGUACCUAACCAGAAAGCCACGGCUAACUACGUGCCAGCCGCCGCCGUAA
rnacentral:rRNA from 1 species